CAGUCGCCACGGUAAUACAGAGGAUGCAAGCGUUAUCCGGAAUGAUUGGGCGUAAAGCGUCUGUAGGUGGCUUUUCAAGUCCGCCGUCAAAUCCCAGGGCUCAACCCUGGACAGGCGGUGGAAACUACCAAGCUGGAGUACGGUAGGGGCAGAGGGAAUUUCCAGUGGAGCGGUGAAAUGCGUUGAGAUCGAAAAGAACACCAACAGCGAAAGCACUCUGCUGGGACGACACUGACACUAAGAGACGAAAGCUAGGGGAGCAAAUGGGAUUAGAUACCCCGGUAGUCCCUGUCUCUUAUAC
rnacentral:rRNA from 1 species